GACGGGCUCAGAAUGCCCUCACCUCCUCACGUGUCCCACCAAACAAGUGAGUCUGCUGAUGGCCCAGUUGACAUCAAAGUGCCUCGGACCUGGGCACUGGGAUGGUCUCGUGUUGCCGCAUCUGCCCAUCUGCUCUUGACUUUUCUUAUCUCCAAAAGAAGGAGAGAGGCCUCCAGGAUCUCCAGCAUUCCAUCGAAGCAAGAUCUCGCUGUACGCAGUCGGAUCUGUAUCAGGACUCAGCCCUCUUCCACAGCAAUCCGACUGAUUUGCGCUUAUCUUGUACCUCUGGAUAAAAGCCUGUUCAGCUAA
rnacentral:lncRNA from 1 species